GACGUAGGGUGCAAGCGUUGUCCGGAUUUACUGGGCGUAAAGAGCGCGUAGGCGGCUCGUCAAGUGAGAAGUGAAAGCUGUGGGCUCAACCCACAAACCGCUUUUCAUACUGGCGAGCUGGAGUGAUGCAGAGGUGGAUAGAAUUCCCGGUGUAGCGGUGAAAUGCGUUGAUAUCGGGAGGAAUACCCGUGGCGAAGGCGGUCCACUGGGCAUCAACUGACGCUGAGGCGCGAAAGCGUGGGUAGCAAACAGG
rnacentral:rRNA from 1 species